rnacentral:rRNA from 1 species
UACGUAGGGUGCGAGCGUUUGUCCGGAAUUAUUGGGCGUAAAGAGCUUGUAGGCGGUCUGUCGCGUCUGCUGUGAAAAUCCGGGGCUCAACCUCGGGCUUGCAGUGGGUACGGGCAGACUAGAGUGCGGUAGGGGAGACUGGAAUUCCUGGUGUAGCGGUGGAAUGCGCAGAUAUCAGGAGGAACACCGAUGGCGAAGGCAGGUCUCUGG